rnacentral:rRNA from 1 species
GAUGAACGCUGGCGGCGUGCCUAAUACAUGCAAGUCGAGCGAACAGAUGAGGAGCUUGCUCCUCUGACGUUAGCGGCGGACGGGUGAGUAACACGUGGAUAACCUACCUAUAAGACUGGGAUAACUUCGGGAAACCGGAGCUAAUACCGGAUAAUAUAUUGAACCGCAUGGUUCAAUAGUGAAAGACGGUUUUGCUGUCACUUAUAGAUGGAUCCGCGCCGCAUUAGCUAGUUGGUAAGGUAACGGCUUACCAAGGCAACGAUGCGUAGCCGACCUGAAAGGGUGAUCGGCCACACUGGAACUGAGACACGGUCCAGACUCCUACGGGAGGCAGCAGUAGGGAAUCUUCCGCGAGGGGCGAAAGCCUGACGGAGCGACGCCGCGUGAGUGAUGAAGGUCUUCGGAUCGUAAAACUCUGUUAUUAGGGAAGAACAAAUGUGUAAGUAACUAUGCACGUCUUGACGGUACCUAAUCAGAAAGCCACGGCUAACUACGUG